rnacentral:rRNA from 1 species
GUUGCAGUUAAAAGCUCGUAGUUGAACCUUGGGCCUGGCUGGCCGGUCCGCCUCACCGCGUGCACUGGUUCGGCCGGGCCUUUCCCUCUGGGGAACUUCAUGCCCUUCACUGGGUGUGUUAGGGAACCAGGACUUUUACUGUGAAAAAAUUAGAGUGUUCAAAGCAGGCCUAUGCUCGAAUACAUUAGCAUGGAAUAAUAGAAUAGGACGUGUGGUUCUAUUUUGUUGGUUUCUAGGACCGCCGUAAUGAUUAAUAGGGACAGUCGGGGGCAUCAGUAUUCAAUUGUCAGAGGUGAAAUUCUUGGAUUUAUUGAAGACUAACUACUGCGAAAGCAUUUGCCAAGGAUGUUUUCAUUAAUCAGGAACGAAAGUUAGGGGAUCGAAGACGAUCAGAUACCGUCGUAGUCUUAACCAUAAACUAUGCCGACUAGGGAUCGGACGAUGUUAUUUUUUGACUCGUUCGGCACCUUACGAGAAAUCAAAGUGUUUGGGUUCUGGGGGGAGUAUGGUCGCAAGGCUGAAACUUAAAGAAAUUGACGGAAGGGCACCACCAGGAGUGGAGCCUGCGGCUUAAUUUGACUCAACACGGGGAAACUCACCAGGUCCAGACACAAUGAGGAUUGACAGAUUGAGAGCUCUUUCUUGAUUUUGUGGGUGGUGGUGCAUGGCCGUUCUUAGUUGGUGGAGUGAUUUGUCUGCUUAAUUGCGAUAACGAACGAGACCUUAACCUGCUAAAUAGCCCGUAUUGCUUUGGCAGUACGCUGGCUUCUUAGAGGGACUAUCCGCUCAGCGGGAUGGAGUUUGAGCAUAACAGUCUGUGAUGCCCUUAGAUGUCUGGGCCGCACGCGCGUUACACUGA